AUAGUUUUUGCUACCUUGACAACCAAACACUCCCGAAUUCCAGGAGGGUUUUAGUUCUCAUCUCAAAACCCCCAACACUUCUCUCACUUAUUUCUGUCAUCUGCAAAUCUAAAUCCGGUACCAAAAAUGUCGUCUUUUGCCGCCACUAGAUCCAUAUUCCGAUCAACUUCCUCCGCUCGCAACGCCGCCGCAGCUCGUUUUGCUUCCAAACCCAGAGCCCCAACAUCAGCUUCUCCUUUUCGCAAUUCUGCUAACAACAAGCCUCUAUCUCAAUCCAUUUUAAGGCGUCCUGUGGAAAUGAGUUUUGCUGUAGAGUCAAUGAUGCCUUAUCACACAGUCACUGCUUCAGCAUUGAUGACUUCAAUGCUUUCUAUUUCUCGUGGGAGCUAUGGUUGGCUUCUUGAAGCUUGCAAUGAUGAUGUGUGAUGUAUAUUCAGAGGAUUCAAGCAAGUUUUAGUACAAGACUCUGCCUUUAGAAGUUCUGAAUGAGCUGCUGAGGAGACAAGUUGGAACUUGUUGAGCUUCCAAACCUAGAUGAAUUAAUGGAUGAAAUUGUAAAUGUCUGGCGAUAUGCAUUGGUUGCACGUUGUUUGUUACCAGGAAUGUGAUGGCAGAAUUUUUGUAACAGCUCAGACUCUUCAAAUGGCUUAUGUUCCUGUAGGUUAGAUGUUUACUUUGUAGUAUGGUUGAAAUGGAGAAAUCGUAUUUGGCAUAUGCUUUCCAACAGCUCCCCUGCAAUUCUGUUUGGAUGAUCUAAAAUUAGACCCAGAAUUGCUGCCUGCUAUUCUUCUUUUUGCCCGAAAUCCCAGAAUUGGAAUGUUAAAAGGUUCAAUCAUAAGCUUUCUUUAUAUAUAUUCAUCUGA